rnacentral:rRNA from 1 species
UGGGGAAUAUUGCACAAUGGAGGGAACUCUGAUGCAGCGACGCCGCGUGAGUGAUGAAGGAAUUCGUUUCGUAAAACUCUGUUCUAUGGGAAGAAAAGGACUGUACCAUAGGAGAAAGCUCCGGCUAAAUACGUGCCAGCAGCCGCGGUAAUACGUAUGGAGCGAGUGUUGUCCGGAAUUAUUGGGCGUAAAGGGUGCGCAGGCGGCUUUACAAGUUGGAUGUGAAAUAUUGUGGCUCAACCACAAACGUGCAUCCAAAACUGCAAAGCUUGAGUUAAGGAGAGGUAAGUGGAAUUCCUGGUGUAGCGGUGGAAUGCGUAGAUAUCAGGAGGAAUACCGGUGGCGAAGGCGACUUACUGGACUUAAACUGACGCUCAGGCACGAAAGCGUGGGGAGCAAACAGG